AUUCAGCUGACGAGUCCCAAAUAGGACGAAACGGGCGUUAAACUGGAAU
rfam:Schistosoma mansoni strain Puerto Rico chromosome 6, complete genome